GGUGGUGUAGCUCAGGGGCAGAGCACUUACCUAGCAGUUGCAAGGUUCUAGGUUCAAAUCCCAGCAUAAAAG
rnacentral:tRNA from 1 species